UACGUAGGUGGCAAGCGUUGUCCGGAUUUACUGGGCGUAAAGAGCGCGCAGGCGGUCGAGUAAGUCGAAUGUGAAAGCCCCCGGCUCAACUGGGGAGGGUCAUUCGAUACUGUUUGACUUGAAGGCAGGAGAGGGAAGCGGAAUUCCCGGUGUAGUGGUGAAAUGCGUAGAUAUCGGGAGGAACACCAGUGGCGAAGGCGGCUUUCUGGCCUGUUCUUGACGCUGAGGCGCGAAAGCCAGGGGAGCAAACGGG
rnacentral:rRNA from 1 species